rnacentral:rRNA from 1 species
AAAGAAACCACCAGAUUGCCCUAGUACGCGAGUGAGCCACCAUUGAAUCUGCGUCUUUGGCGUCCGAGUUGUAAUUUGCAGAGGGCGCUUUGGCAUUGGCAGCGGUCCAAGUUCCUUGGAACAGGACGUCACAGAGGGUGAGAAUCCCGUACGUGGUCGCUAGCCUUUACCGUGUAAAGCCCCUUCGACGAGUCGAGUUGUUUGGGAAUGCAGCUCUAAAUGGGAGGUAAAUUUCUUCUAAAGCUAAAUACUGGCCAGAGACCGAUAGCGCACAAGUAGAGUGAUCGAAAGAUGAAAAGCACUUUGGAAAGAGAGUUAAAAAGCACGUGAAAUUGUUGAAAGGGAAGCGCUUGCAGCCAGACUUGCCUGUAGUUGCUCAUCCGGGUUUCUACCCGGUGCACUCUUCUAUAGGCAGGCCAGCAUCAGUUUGGGCGGUUGGAUAAAGGUCUCUGUCAUGUACCUCCUCUCGGGGAGAACUUAUAGGGGAGACGACAUGCAACCAGCCCGGACUGAGGUCCGCGCAUCUGCUAGGAUGCUGGCGUAAUGGCUGUAAGCGGCCCGUCUUGAAACACGGACCAAGGAGUCUAACAUCUAUGCGAGUGUUUGGGUGUCAAGCCCGAGCGCGUAAUGAAAGUGAACGGAGGUGGGAACCUUUCGGGGUGCACCAUCGACCGAUCCUGAUGUCUUCGGAUGGAUUUGAGUAAGAGCAUAGCUGUUGGGACCCGAAAGAUGGUGAACUAUGCUUGAAUAGGGUGAAGCCAGAGAACUCUGGUGGAGCUCGCAGCGGUUCUGACGUGCAAAUCGAUCGAAGGAGAAGCUAAAUCGACCUAUCUAGUAA